UCUCCGUAGGUGAACCUGCGGAGGGAUCAUUACAGAGUUCAUGCCCUCACGUGUAGAUCUCCCACCCUGUGUUAUUAUUACUUUUGUUGCUUUGGUGGGCCGUCCGGCUUCGGCCAGGCUACCGGCGCCGGCAGGUAAUCGCCCGCCAGAUUACCUGAAAUCCUGAAUUUUAUCAUCGUCUGAGUAUUAUAUAUUAGUUAAAACUUUCAACAACGGAUCUCUUGGUUCUG
rnacentral:misc_RNA from 1 species